rnacentral:lncRNA from 1 species
UGUGUUGUCAGGUUCUUGGAAAUCUGCCUGAGUUAAGCAAACGGACACGGUCAGAUGCGAAAGCCAAUCAGAUCUCGAGUCGCUAGAAGGCCUACGCUGCGCGCGACGUCUACGCGUCCUACGGUUGGAUAAGCACUCGCGAGAGCCUGAAAGGCGGCACUUUGCAAAAUGUCAAAAUGCCCGGAGAUCCGUUAGCCAGCUACAAACAGCUAUCGGUGUAUUUCUAACCUACGGUGGCUGAAGGAGGAGGCGACGACAUUUUCAAGACGGACACACUCAUGAAAAGUGGGAACUUGUGAGCAGAGGUAGCCAACAGAGAUUUUUUAAUCUGGUGCUGGAGAUUCCUGGGGCAAAGAGUCCAUGUCUUCAUCCCUUCAUACGUGGAGUCAGGGCAGAGUUUUCUGAUAAACAAGGCACUUAUGUUGGGUUUAGACCACCUGCCAUCUUUGAGCAAUUGAUUAUUUAUAUAUAUUUAUACUUGCAUACAUGGUUCACCUCUAUUGUUUACCAUAUUAAAAAGAUAUAAAAGAAGAAGAAUGUAAUUUCAAUAUUAUGUUUUCCUGUGUAAAGUUUAAGUUUUUCCCCCUCAUAAAAACAGAGUUCAGUGAAAUGUGUAAUAGUUAAAGCCAACUUUAUUGUCGGCCAGAAAAUGCACCAGUACUUUAAAGCUGGACAAAACUGUUAUCUUCAGACUCCAAUUUGCAAGGUACAGCUUACUGGGUGAGUUGAGAAGCCCUAGGUUUGAGAACAGAAGCGUCUGCAGGCCCUUGCAGCUUUGCUGUGGAAGUCCUGGGUAGGUGGUAAACUUGGUUAUGCUGGAAAUUUGUUUCUGCAUCCGGACAGGAAUAGUUGUAGACAGACGGCUGGGGAGAUGUGAUCUCUGUUGUUCUUAUCAUGAUUUGGAAGACCAUGACACCCCUCAAAAAGGUACUGCAAACAUAGGUGUAGAUUAGUGAAAUGAUCAGUUUUUCCUAUGUCAAAUAUAAACAAUAGACAUUAUAAGACAUUGAAAAAUAAACUGCAUAAGAGGACAACCCUGUCUGUGCUA